CUAUUUGUGUCAAUAAGAUUUUUAAAGCAAUACAAGAUUGAAUUUAGCAUAAGGCUAAAUUUCUGAUCUGGAGACAAAAAAGGAAGACAGCGAAAAUGACCAGUCAAAAUAAAGAUUAAAGAGACAAAAAAUUGUAUAUAUCUUGGUGUAGAUGAUUUAUCCUCAUUUUCUUAUAAUAAAACAAAAAAUAUUAUUAAACUUUUGGAUUUACCUGUAACUCCAAAAUCUUUACAUAAGUUUAAUGUUUGCUCUGAGAAGUUGAAUGAACAAAAUUAUUAAAUGUGUUCAUUCUUAGUCGUCAUUGAAGUACAACUUGGUAAACUACAAAACACAUCAAAUUCAGUUAUAAAAAUUUGAGUAACAAAGGUAUACUAAUUAUUGUAUUGCCUGGAAGAGUGUCAUUGCUAUUAAAAGCAGUGAAGAAUUUAAGUACUCUGGAAGAAAAGAAAAUAAGUAAAUAAAUGGUCAGUUAUUUGGCACAAAUCCGAGUUAAAGACAAAGGAGAUUGUAUAUUUUAUUUGAUAAGAAUAGUUUUUUAAAAUGACCUAGUUGUAAAAUUAAACAAUGCAGGGAGAGGACAAAAAAUUGGAAUAGAAAAAAUGUUGAUUGCAUAUGCUGCUAUUGAAACUGUGAAGUCAAAUAAGCAUGGCUUAUGCAGACACGUGAUAGAGAUAGAGGAAGAAAAAAUAAUAAUCGUGGGCACCAAAUAUUAUAAGCUAAA